rnacentral:rRNA from 1 species
CAGCAGCCGCGGUAAUACAGAGGAUGCAAGCGUUAUCCGGAAUGAUUGGGCGUAAAGCGUCUGUAGGUGGCUUUUCAAGUCCGCCGUCAAAUCCCAGGGCUCGACCCUGGACAGGCGGUGGAAACUACCAAGCUGGAGUACGGUAGGGGCAGAGGGAAUUUCCGGUGGGGCGGUGAAAUGCGUUGAGAUCGGAAAGAACACCGAUGGCGAAGGCAGCCCCCUGGGCCAAUACUGACGCUCAUGCACGAAAGCGUGGGGAGCAAACAGGAUUAGAGACCCCGGUAGUCCCUGUCUCUUAUAC